rnacentral:lncRNA from 1 species
UCUCUCUCUCUCUCUCUCUCUCUUUGUUCCCUGUUGCUACGUAUGUGUAAGUGCGGGUGUGCGUGUGCGCGUUUCUUUCUCGCCUCGUCACGCCUCGCUUCGUCCCGUCUCAUCUCUGUCUUCUCCUCUGCUCUCUUCUUCUCCUCUCCUCCUCUUGUUGUGUGUCUCCACCUCGACUUCGCUCGUUGCCGCGAAAGUGGCAGGUUUGCGCGAGCGAAUAAAAUCGGUGGAAGACGAUGUAGAGGAGAAGGAGGAAUAGAGAGGGAGGAGGAGGAGGGGGAGGAGGGAGAAAGGAGGAACUGAGGUGAUGAUAAUCGCGGAGGCGAGAAGAAACGCCGGGGAUGCCGUAAGAAAUCCCCCGUGCGUUACGGUGCGUGAAUGAAGUCGCGAAAUAGUCCAGGCGAAGAACGUAAUUCGGUGGUGACGACAACGAGGGGGUUGUGAGGACGGGCGAAGAAAUUGCGAAAGUGUGAGAAAGAUUUCAAGUGGGAGUGAUAAAUUUGAAAUUUCGGGCUCUUCUUCAGUUCGGCACGCUCCGCUGCCGAGAGUAAUUGCUAACGCGCCGCGAGGAUCCGAGAACUCAUAAGUGACGAGAGACGCGCUUAUCCCCGACAAAGGAGACACGACCAGGAGCUGAUUUCAGGACUCCUCCGAGCCACCCUCGCCGAGGCUCUUCAUGGCGGGCGAAUAAGAGACAACGGCAGCCGUGCGAUAGCUGACGGAUGGGAACAUGAUUCCGGUACGGCGGAUCCGGCGAACCCGACGGAAAGCCAGAAGAAGAGCGUCCUGAGGUCAACGAGACGCGGGCACUGCGGGGAUAUGGAUGCUCGCGAGGACGGCGGGGCCGCUCGAACGAGAGGCUCCAAUUUGUUGACUUAACGACCACUAUUCCGGGCGAAUCACGACGUGCGUCCGG